ACAGGUAGUGUAUAAUCCUAUAGGAACCCAAUCCUAUAGGCCGUAAAUGAUUGAAACAGGUGACUUCGAUGUGUGGCUGUAAUGAACGAGCUAAGUUAUAUUCAUUCAGCUCAGUUAGUACUGUGGGUUGAGCCUGUAAGUACACUCGCGUGCUGAUGUUCUCUUGUCCUCUUCUCUUCGAUUCGAGUGUUUGUUAUUUGCUUAGUGGGACAGGCCGUGCGGUGUUUGUGGAUUUGAUGCAGUGGAAUAGCGAAGGAGAAGGCUAAAGGAAUUCUUUCAUGACGUAAUCCUGGCCUACGGCUUACAGAAGAGAAUACUCACGAUUUGCGGUUGUCGUCUUACAGGAGAACGAUUUUGUUCUUCUGCCUACAACUUUAAUGCUGUGACUUCAUUUGUGGUAAUGUAAAGUUGUUUGUGUGCACCUAGCUAUUAAGCUGUGCUGAAGAAUUCAGAUAUACCAAUAUUAACGUCGUCACUGGAAGGUGGUAAAUGCUAGCUUCACGCUCUGGCCUCUGUAUCCUCGAGGGAGUUGGUGGAUCCCACAGCUGAUCUGAACUAGUUGGCGAAGGGAACCUGUCAUCAGACACUUUACAGACUGAGUACUGUUGCUGGACCGAAAUAUCUACGCUGAGAACCGAAGUAUAGGCCUAUUGUAAACUGUUAAUGAGACCAUUCUGAGGUCUGCAAGAAACACCACGGAAGGAAACAAAUAUUGGAAACAGCUGAAACGAGUGUAUUAAGAGAGGCAGUGGGGGAGAAGAAGGUCUCGCCAUGUGAGAAGCCCAGACAUCAAAUCGAAAUCUAUGAAACAGGAGAAUGGUUGAAGAUUAAGAAGGUGUGUUGCUCCAGGACGAUGGUACCUACCUACAAGUCCAUAUAGCAUCACAUUACCAAAGUCUAAAUAUUUUCCGUGAGGACCUCAAAUCUCACUCUUGAUCUUAAGUUAGGCUACGCUUAAACAGGAUACUUAGUAGAGUGAGACAGAAGCAGGGAAAAACACAUGGAAGGUCUCCCGUUGAUGACUUUCUGAAUUUGGGAUUAGGUAAGAAAGGAGAGAGGAAGGCUUUCUUCUUCACACGGUGUUGUCUGUCGUAUUUUUACACGGAUUGACUCUAACAGGGCUACACUGGGUGCAGCUCUGAACUAUCUUGAACCUUCUAGUAUCCCAUUUCACCACAGAGAGAUUGAAUGCUGUUUUACCAGGAAAUGGUGGAAUUAUUAUCUGUGUUACACACGUGUUUCGUAUAGUUUACGAUCUGGGAACAAAUUGCUGUGCUCGUAUUAAUAAAGCUUUCUCUUUUUACCGCUCUUUAUCAACUGAAUGUUAUAUGUCAGAGAUGCUGACACGAACUCUUGAUUGUGUUAACACAGAGGCCAAACCCAUAUUUUUAUCCUUAAUAAAGAUGUGACUUUCCUACUGUCAACAUUUAUGUUAUAAUAUUAAGUUGUUUCGUUUCUAUUGGCUAGUUGGCCC